AUCGCUAGGAUCCCUUCGGGGUGACUUUGAUGCUGACGAGCGGCGGACGGGUGAGUAACGCGUAGGAAUCUACCCAGUAGCGGGGGAUAGCCCGAGGAAACUCGGAUUAAUACCGCAUACGCCCUAAGGGGGAAAGGGGGGAACUCUUCGGAGACCUCUCACUAUUGGAGGAGCCUGCGUUGGAUUAGCUAGUUGGUAGGGUAAAGGCCUACCAAGGCAACGAUCCAUAGCUGGUCUGAGAGGACGAUCAGCCACACUGGAACUGAGACACGGUCCAGACUCC
rnacentral:rRNA from 1 species